CAGUAAUUGUAAAAAAGUCUAGUCAAAGUUUAUUUAUGUAGCACAGUUACAACAAUCUCAGCUGACCAAAGCGCUUCACAAUAAUUACAGAAAAUUA